rnacentral:rRNA from 1 species
UACGAAGGGGGCUAGCGUUGCUCGGAAUCACUGGGCGUAAAGGGUGCGUAGGCGGGUCUUUAAGUCAGGGGUGAAAUCCUGGAGCUCAACUCCAGAACUGCCUUUGAUACUGAAGAUCUUGAGUUCGGGAGAGGUGAGUGGAACUGCGAGUGUAGAGGUGAAAUUCGUAGAUAUUCGCAAGAACACCAGUGGCGAAGGCGGCGCUCUGGACCGAGACUGACGCUGAGGCGCGAAAGCGUGGGGAGCAAACAGG